rnacentral:tRNA from 1 species
CGGGAUGUAGCGCAGUGGCUAGCGCGCCUCGUUCGGGACGAGGAGGCCGCGGGUUCGAGUCCCGCCAUCCCGA